rnacentral:rRNA from 1 species
GAUUAACGCUAGCGGCAGGCCUAAUACAUGCAAGUCGCACGGGAUUUCGGGUAGCAAUAUCUGAAUGAGAGUGGCGCACGGGUGCGUAACACGUAUGCAAUCUACCUUUAACUGGGGAAUAGCUCACCGAAAGGUGAAUUAAUACCGCAUAAAAUCACAGAAGGACAUCCUUCAAUGAUUAAACCCACGGGGGUUAAAGAUGAGCAUGCGUCCGAUUAGCAGUUGGCGGGGUAAUAGCCCACCAAGGCAACGAUCGGUAGGGGGUCUGAGAGGAUGAUCCCCCACACUGGUACUGAGAUACGGACCAGACUCCUACGGGAGGCAGCAGUAAGGAAUAUUGGACAAUGGGCGCAAGCCUGAUCCAGCCAUGCCGCGUGAAGGAUUAA